UACGUAGGGUGCAAACGUUGUUCGGAAUCACUGGGCAUAAAGAGCGCGUAGGCGGUCUGACAAGUCCCCUGUGAAAGCCCCCGGCUUAACCGGGGAACUGCAUGGGAUACUGUUGGGCUAGAGUGCAGGAGGGGAGAGCGGAAUUCCUGGUGGAGCGGUGAAAUGCGUAGAUAUCUGGAGGAACACCGGUGGCGAAGGCGGCAUUCUGGACCGACAUUGACGCUGAGGCGCGAAAGCCAGGGGAGCAAACGGG
rnacentral:rRNA from 1 species